rnacentral:rRNA from 1 species
UACGUAGGGGGCAAGCGUUAUCCGGAUUUACUGGGUGUAAAGGGAGCGUAGACGGUGAGACAAGUCUGAAGUGAAAGCCCGGGGCUCAACCCCGGGACUGCUUUGGAAACUGCCUGACUGGAGUGCUGGAGAGGCAAGCGGAAUUCCUAGUGUAGCGGUGAAAUGCGUAGAUAUUAGGAGGAACACCAGUGGCGAAGGCGAUUUGCUGGACUGUAACUGACACUGAGGCGCGAAAGCGUGGGUAUCGAACAGG